rnacentral:rRNA from 1 species
GGGGAAUAUUGCGCAAUGGGGGAAACCCUGACGCAGCAACGCCGCGUGUGUGACGAAGGCCUUCGGGUCGUAAAGCACUGUGAGGUGGAACGAGCCGCCGGGGGUUAAUACCCUUCGGCCCGACGGUACCACCAGAGGUAGCACCGGCUAACCCUGUGCCAGCAGCCGCGGUAAUACAGGGGGUGCAAGCGUUGUUCGGAAUUAUUGGGCGUAAAGCGCGUGUAGGCGGACCAUUAAGUCUGGUGUGAAAUCCCUCGGCUUAACCGAGGACGUGCAUUGGAUACUGGUGGUCUUGAGUCCUGGAGAGGGUAGCGGAAUUCCCAGUGUAGAGGUGAAAUUCGUAGAUAUUGGGAGGAACACCGGUGGCGAAGGCGGCUACCUGGACAGUGACUGACGCUGAGACGCGAAAGCAUGGGUAGCAAAC